rnacentral:rRNA from 1 species
CCUACGGGUGGCUGCAGUGAGGAAUAUUGGUCAAUGGGCGCGAGCCUGAACCAGCCAAGUCGCGUGAAGGAUGACUGCCCUACGGGUUGUAAACUUCUUUUAUAAAGGAGUAAAGUGAGGCACGUUUGCCUUUUUGUAUGUACUUUAUGAAUAAGGAUCGGCUAACUCCGUGCCAGCAGCCGCGGUAAUACGGAGGAGCCGAGCGUUAUCCGGAUUUAUUGGGUUUAAAGGGAGCGUAGAUGGGUUGUUAAGUCAGUUGUGAAAGUUUGCGGCUCAACCGUAAAAUUGCAAUUGAUACUGGCAGCCUUGAGUACAGGUGAGGUAGGCGGAAUGCGUGGUGUAGCGGUGAAAUGCUUAGAUAUCACGCAGAACCCCGAUUGCGAAGGCAGCUUACUAAACUGCCACUGACAUUGAUGCUCGAAAGUGUGGGUAUCAAACAGGAUUAGAUACCCUAGUAGUC